rnacentral:tRNA from 1 species
GCGGGAAUGGCGGAAUGGCAGACGCGCUGGUCUUAGGAGCCAGUACUUCGGUGUGUGGGUUCAAGUCCCAUUUCCCGCACCA